CCUACGGGCGGCAGCAGUGAGGAAUAUUGGUCAAUGGACGAGAGUCUGAACCAGCCAAGUAGCGUGAAGGAUGACUGCCCUAUGGGUUGUAAACUUCUUUUAUAUGGGAAUAAAAUGUUCCACGUGUGGGAUUUUGUAUGUACCAUAUGAAUAAGGAUCGGCUAACUCCGUGCCAGCAGCCGCGGUAAUACGGAGGAUCCGAGCGUUAUCCGGAUUUAUUGGGUUUAAAGGGAGCGUAGGUGGAUUGUUAAGUCAGUUGUGAAAGUUUGCGGCUCAACCGUAAAAUUGCAGUUGAAACUGGCAGUCGUGAGUACAGUAGAGGUGGGCGGAAUUCGUGGUGUAGCGGUGAAAUGCUUAGAUAUCACGAAGAACUCCGAUUGCGAAGGCAGCUCACUGGAUUGCAACUGACACUGAGGCUCGAAAGUGUGGGUAUCAAACAGGAUUAGAUACCCCAGUAGUC
rnacentral:rRNA from 1 species